rnacentral:lncRNA from 1 species
UCCUAGCCCCCUGAAGAAAUCUAUCACAAGUCUGAAGCCCCGUCCUUACUGCCAAGGGUAUCCACAGCUUCCUCUCAUCAUUGAGGUGGGUCUGUCCAUCAUUAGCUCUACCCUCUCCAAUUGCUCUUGUUCACAGGAGUCACACCUUGCUGUCUACAGGGUUGGCUUGGAUGCUGGAGUUGCCACAUAGGCUCCUCACCCAGCCUAACAGAGAGCAUCUCCCUAAGGGGAUUUUUCAGCCCCCUGGAAUGACCUUCAAGUGAAACCCUUCCUCCCUUCUCACAGUAGAAUCAGUGGCCAAGGAUCAGCUGUCACUGGGACUCUGGUUCACCUGCAUCAAGGAUGAUGCUGCUCAGUAUUUCCCUCUUCCUUGCUCCAGCACUUGUUGUUUAUGAAGGGAAGCUGGGAAGAAAAUGCCUGUGCAAUGCACUAAGUCCAGAACGGCACAUAUGCUGACCCAACUCUCAGGUAAACCACAGAGACAUCAGACACCAUGGGAGACAUUUUUAGAGUGUCUGAUAAUGUCAAAUAUUUUGGUACCCAGGGAGGGUGGGACAGCUGGGUGGUCAGGUCAGCAUGUGCCACAUCAGUCCUCAGGCUGGAAAGUCAGCCAAGGAACCCAGAAUUGCCAGUCUUGUUCUUUUCUUGAAUGGUCUUCUCAAAGAGAAAUCCCAAGCACACAGAGAAUUUAAACAAUUUUUCUUGACAAAGAUAUUUCCACCCUUUCCCCCAAGGCCAGAAAGGAAAACAUUUUUCCCACACAAAUCACUGACCUAAGAGUUCAGGAAAUGCAGAUCUCUUGCCCAACUCUACUGUUACUUUUACCCUAUGUAUAAAUAUUAGUUUAUUAACCUGUCACAUCAGAUAAUCAGCAAAUCAAUUCUCUUGGGUUGCAAUCUGUCCCUGACAGGUUGCCAAGGGGUGAUUAAUAUUCACCAUCUUCCCUCCUAUAGAAAGAAGCUGCAGCUUUGCCUGGCUGGUCCAGAAAAAAAGCAGCCUUUCUCACAACGACAGUUCAAAAUCCCAGCACUGUUCAAACAAUUCACUUUACUUAGCUAACACUUCUUUACAGACAAUUGCUCUCUGAAAUUGAAACUGGAUAUUAUUGGACUCUUUGAAAAAGAAAACUGUGUGGGACAAUUAAACUUCUUGAAAUUUGCUAUUCUACCAGCCAGUGAACUUGGCAUGUGGUUUCUUCCAGUGGGUCAGAUCUGAUGUAUGCAUACAGAGGUUGGAAAUGGACUUAGCUGAAAUUUUCCUCUGGAUCUUUGGGAUGUAAGUUUAUUGAAAAGAUCAGAUGAACUACAUAGGCAAAACCCACUGUGAAGCUCUUCACAUUACAGAUAUGACUGUACUCAUUGGUAUGAGGAAGAAGAAACUCAGACUCCACAGCGGAGUUUUUAUUUUACUUAAAAACUUAUGAAUGGGUAUUUCUAGAAAAUACAAUGUGUACCACAAAUGAACAAACUCAGAGAUCCAGGCAUUCUGCCAGCAUCCUUACCCUCACCUUGCCUUGUCACCAAUACAGUGACAGAACAGACUUCUGCCCUGCCUGAUGCUCCCAGAUUAUUUUGCAGCAACGACACAGUCCCUGUUCACUGCACGUGGAGUACAGCUUGGGACAGCUCUGCACACGUGGCUGAUGCUCCGUUAAAGGUUGCCAAGGCGCUGCCCCAAUACCAAGUGUCUUCCCAUCAAUCAUGCCUUAUCUUGAAAUCAGUGCCCUGCAGUACAUUGCAGUUAAAUCAAUGCUGGAGCAUCUUCUGUGUCCAAAGAGAUAAAUAAGCUCAUUUUUCAGUAUUGACUGCAACUGUUUGCUUUUCAGUGUGAUUUUACUCCAAAAUAAAAAAUAAUUAGGACCUAUAUACUGCUUUCUCUGUGCUACAGAUUCGUCCUGCCCCUGCUAACUGUGAGGGAGUCUGUCAUCCUGUGCUUUGCCAGCACGUACACACAUACACCGAGGAUCCUACUUUAGAGCUUUUUGCAGCAUGAGAGCCCAAUUGCUCAUUUUAGUCAGGUUCGUCUCAGUAAAUGAAAAAGCAGCGAAGCUUUAUCUAUGAAACCAGGCGGGGCCCCUGUCCAAGCCCUGAUGUUAAUUGGGGUGACCUCUGAGAAGCCUUACCUCCCACCCAGAAUCAGCUGCCUUUGAGCUUGUGCUGAUAGCAAAAAUUGACGUGAUAUGUGACCAGCACUUGGUUAUUUCCCCUUCCUCAGCUAAUGCCUUAUUAUACAAGGCUCUGAGGGCUGUGGCUGUACAACUAACAAUCUGUGAAAGCAUAUUUCCCCAGCGGUUCCUUCCGAGCAGCGUGAAAGUGUCAGAUGAGGACAGAAGCUGGCAUUAUGCUACUGGCAUGACUGAAUCACAACAGGAUCUCUGUUGUUAACCAUUUAACUGUCUAAAUAUAUUGUGCAGCACUGUCCUGUCUGGUUUCUGCCCAGCAUUAUUCCUUUUAGAGAAGGUUCAGGGAGCUAAUUGUCCAGCAAAACUGUGUGAUGAGCAUCUGAACAGACACCAAACUGACAGAUCCAAGCAACUGUUCAGCUCUUCCAGCAUCCUGGCAAUGGUGGCAAAAAAUGUCCCAGAUGAUGCUAAAUCCUCAUCUCUUUCAAAACGAGGUGCUUUCAAGCUUUCAUGGCAAUGUUAGAUCACUGUGAUCUCUGAAAGUAUGUCAGCCUUCUCUUCAGAAGGCAAAGGCUUGAAUUACCAUGACCCUUCUUGUGCUUGUAGGUGGCUUAAGAAAAGGCUUCUUUUCUGCACUCUUCAUCACCCUUGUAUCAAACCCUCCUGAAGACACUCUGAAAACAGCUGACACAAGCUGACAACUCAGCCAUAGCCCAGGGGGAGGCAGUAAGUUCAGGCCUCACAGAGUCUGCAAGUCUCUCUUCCCCAGUGUUGCCCAGAGCUGCUUGGCAGCAAACAGCUCUGCUCAUUCACCAUCAGCCUGCUCACCUGCUCCAUCCACCUAUGCUGUCCUGCUUCAUCUUCCUCUCACUUCCUGUAUCUCUUCCCUCUCCUUUUAUUUUCCGAUGUGCAACUUCAUAACACACUUCCGUUUUCAGCCUCCAUCACAGGUCCAAACACUCUUUAACUGCACAAAUGUUGCCUUUCCUUACAAUUAGAACAUGAGAGUCAGUGAAACCCUAACUCAGGUUGUCUGGGUGCUGGCAGAGGAACUCACCUUCAGCAAUCACCUCUCAUACUAUGAUUGCUCUCCAGGAUGCACUGCAGAUUCCCCAGAGCAGAGCCAUCUGGCCUGAGCAAAGGAAAGAAGGCAGCACCAAUGACAUACCUUUUGUGUCAUCACUCCUCCUUAAACCCAUGCGCUAACUUGAUAGGGUAAAUUAAAGGCGACUUUUGGGGUGAGAUGAAGCAAAUAUAGGGCAAAUUCUCUUUUUGCUGUUAAUUUGGAGACCUCUAUUGGUUUCAGAAGGGAUUAUUCUGUGAUUGUACUAACAGUCUGCCAAUGAAUCUGAUAAGAAAUGAGUCAAGCUUUCCUUUUUCCACGCCAGUUUACAAUUAUAAUUGGUCUCUUUAUUUCCAUAGUGUUAAUGCUUAGUGCACUGCAGUACUUCCAGCAUCAGCAAGAUUAAAGGUAGUAAGAAUCUUAACCUUACAUUUCAUUGCUCUUGUCAGUUCAAGUUAGCUACACAAUGUCAUUAUGCUUUUAUAUAUAAUACAGAAAAAUCAACUUGUACUUCUAGUAUUCCUUUUAACUAAAUCCAUUCCUUUUCUAGGCAGGAGAUGGCAAAAAUUAGUGUCCGUUCUCAUAAUAUUUUAUAAUCUUGAACAUCAAAUAUUCUCUGGUCACUGAAUCAAUUAGGAUUAAUUGACUCCUAUUAAUGGUUAACAGGGUACUGUAUUCUUCAAGGACAAUAAUAAUAAGGCUUUGACUCUGUGAAACCACACUAGAUAGCCAGGAAGUCAUUUAAGUUACAUGCAAGACUUGGUUUGCUGGAAUCAAGAAAUAUGAAUACAUUUAUUUUCUUCAACACAUUGAUGCCAGCCAAAGUUCCCACAGUGCAGCUUUAAAAUAUGAUGUCCUAGCUUCAUCAUUUUUACAUAAUCCCCUUUAUUAUUUAGUUGUGUUUCAAGAAGACAGAAAGACAAUUUUUCUGAUCACUGUCAGACACAAGACAUGAGGAAAUUCAGGGUCUGUAAAUUUUCAAAGAAUAUUUUUAGGAAAUACUGUUCUCUAAUAUUAGUGCAACAUUCCUAUUGACAAUUUAAAUUUAUACUCUAAGUGAUAAUAGGGACAUCUUCAUUUAGAAUUAUAUAUACAUCUGCUCAUACAGCCUGUCAUGAAAAGGUUCUGAACAAUUUUGCUUGUAUACUUUAAAAACAAAAACCAACUUUGUGCUGAAGCCCAUACAACUGUCCUUGAAACAUGAUGCUAAUAAAGGAAAUUUUAUGUUUUUCUACUCAUAAAUUUUAUGAAGCAAAUUAAUUUGUCUCACUUGUGAGAACAGCAUCACUGGCUCCAGUGGUUGAUAGCAGUGUAAAGCAAAUAAGGUUGGGAUCCCUGGACGCACUGUGCUUCUCAGAAAUAAUUGCUCUCUUGAAAGAGUUAAGAGCCUCUGCCCUUUCUAAAUGUGGCACAGUAAAAACAUUGCUCUCACUAACAAGUGUGGUUCAGUAAUUGGAAAGCAAUUUUAAAUUCUAAUUCCAAGUAAUUUGAUUUGCAGGAAAUGGCAGUUAAUUACUCAUGCAAAUGCCUCUGUUAGGUGUGGCUGGACUAAUGCACAAUGCAUUGAGCAGAGAGAGCACACAGUUCAAUGUACCUCAGACAGCCUGAGAUAUCUCUCAUAAUACCAAGUAGACCAAUAUUUUUUCCUGCAGAUCACUACCUGCUGAAAAUAAUUUUCACAUAGAAGUUUAAAUUAGAGGUGUAGUGCAACAUAAGGAAUAACUGUACUCUAGCCAGUUUUAACUACUCUUUGCAGACUCAUGGCCAACAUGCCCCCUCUGUGACAGUCCCUUUCUGUUGUGCUGUGUUUCACAGCGCCUGGCCCUUUCUGCCAUCACAGUUUCAUCUCCAGGCCAUGAAGAACUUCCAGCAUGUCUGAAGUAAUGGUUUUACAGCCUUAAGCAGGCCCUAAAGCUCACACACAAAAGUUCAAGUCAGACAAAAAAUGCCCUGUUUGGAAAAUCCUGCUUAAGGCAAUGUUUUGACAAGGGGAACCAGCACCUUUUCCAUGCAGAGAGGUUGAUCCUACUGUGCUCAGCCAGGGCUUUCCCACUCCCUCUUCACAAUGCAUUUGUAGCAUGCUAGCCUUCACUCUGUCACACAAGGUUAGCAACGCUCCACUGGUACUGUAAGUACACUCACCCACCUAUUUUUGGCUCUACUAUGGCACAGAUUCCAGUAGUAAAUAAGGUUCUUGCUAUCUGCAGUCUACUUAUCCAACCCUAACCCUGUGAGCUGGGAAAAUACCACUACACCCACAGUACAUGCAGGGAGAGACGCAGACAGAGACUGAGCUGUGGCAGAGCAGGGACUGAAUACCCCACUCCCACGUAAGCACCCAGUCUAUCCUACCUAUGUAUGCUUUAAUUCUUUUUCUUUCUCUGAGCAUGCAGGUUUUCACUUGAGAACAGUGUGAUAUGUCCUGUGUACCGGCCAAGGAUGGGGCCAGGACACCACAGGGUGCUGAGCUCCUGGAGACCAUCUCUUCAGCUCCAGGGUACAUUGCAACAUUCAGUCACAGCUGUGGGUCAAACUGGCGCCAAUUCCUAAAAAAUCAUCAGAAGCAACAUAGGAAAAGCAGCCUGACCUUUGAACCAAGACAAUUCGGAGGAAUUGUAAUAGUGCAAAAAAAAGGAGUGGUCAACUAGAGAAGCACGAGCUACUUGGGAUGAUCAGAGUAUGGAAAGUUAGUAGGGCUUUUAUAAGGAGAAGAUCUUUCUUGCUCUCCCUGGAGAACUGCAAAGGGACCCACAAAUCUGAAGAUAAGAGUAAUUUGGUUGACACUGACUGCCUUGAUUUUCAAAAACAUUUUCUCAAGCAUUAGAAGAAACCAAGCAUCUAUAGAAGGUCUUUGCCUGGUUAGGAAACAGAGUAGCAACAUUUUCUCAGUGAAGAGUAAGCAACAGUUCAAGAGGGGUCUGUGCUGUUCAGUGGAAAAUUUAGAAAAGGGUGAAGUAAGAAAGCUUAUCAAGAAUACCAAGUUAUUUAGGAUAGUAAGGACUAGCAUCAGCUGUGAAAAACUGUCAGGAAUCUCAUAAAACUGAGCAAGAAAAUCCCUCAAAAGCUUUAUAGCAGAACUGACAAAUGUUCAGAGGAAGGCAGAAGAGAAGAUCAAAGAUAGAGAAAGGGGCUGUACAAGGAGCAAAUGAGCGAGGUAGGACACAUCAGUUUAUGAAAGAGGUGACUUCUGGGUAUACAAAAAAAAGUCUGCAAAAAGACUGAUUGUCUGCUUCUCUAACAGUACCAGCAAUAGGGGGUCAUCAGUUGAAGCCUGAAGGAGACAAAAUAACAGCAAAAAGAGCAGCAGGAGCUCCUUGACAAAGGGCACUACAGAUGGUACAAGUUUUUGUAGCUUCAAGGGAAGGCUGGACAUAUUCUCACAGAGGGCAACUGCCUGGGACCACAUCUAGCCACGAAGUCUCUGAGUUCAAAAACGCAAAGGCUGGGAGAACAUCAAGUGUCACACAUACCUGUCUUGCUCAGACUCUUCACCUAUGGAUACUGUCAGAAACAGCACUCUGGGUCGGGCGAACCUGGGUCAGGGUCUGCAUCACCAAUGUUAUAUUCUAAAAUAACUAAAUUCUCUCUAUUAAAAGGAAAUUUCAACAUCUUUCUUUAUGAAUUGACUUACCUCUGGGGUUCUGUGUCAAAUCUACCAUUUUCCUUGUCUCCUUCCCCAAUUUUCUAAUUCUGCCUGAUUUGCAUAUUUUUUAAAACUUCAUACCAGAGGAAAGCUUGGCUACAUCUCCCAGGCUCACAAAUAAGAGCACCAACACAAAAGAGCACAAACAUAAUUUUAAUAUAACUUACAACUUCUACACUACUCUCCUGAUGAUUUCAAGGCUUGCAAAAAGCUUUACUGCUACUGCAAAAGUUCAGUUUAAAUGAAGAAAGGCCUUGCAACCAGAAUAUCCUGGCGUUGCAAAAUUUUGUCUCAAGUAUGCAAAAAGGCUUGAGAAAGAGCUGUGGGACACAUAUGAGGACAAGGAAGAAAUCCAUGAGAUGAUUUGUGAAAUAUAUUUCAGUCAUUCUCUUUGUUUAAAACUUGAAAAAAUAAAUUGUUGAAAUGGGACAUUAUUUUACACAUUAAAUACUUUGAGAUCUGGAGGCAAAAACUAUUAGAUUCUAGUAGGAGUCCAGUCAUGAUAUAGUGCUGAACAAAGCCUGUGUGUGCUUAAUAUUUUUUUUCUCCACCAGAUUGCUGCCUGGAUUCUCGAGCAAAUCAGUAUGCCAGGCAGGGGAGAAAGCAUACUGCUGCAAGAAAAGAGGGAAAGGAAAAUAAUGCUGUCAUUUUCUAUUUGCACAUUUCUGAUGCAAAAGGAGAGAUAUAGAGGUUAUCCCUUAAAGCAGAGCUUGCCUGGUAUUUUUGGUUCCCUUCUUACAAUACUCACAAGGAAGAUAAACAAAGCAUCACCAGAUAGAGCUUCUGCAGGAGCAGUUGUAACUGGAAGACAUCUUGUUCUUGCUCAGCAGCAGCAUCCUACCUUCUUUCCCUGAAAAAAGCCAAAC